rnacentral:rRNA from 1 species
CCCUUAGAUGUUCUGAACCGCACGCGUGUUACACUGAUGCAUUCAACGAGCUUUACCUUGGCCGAGAGGCCUGGGAAAUCUUUUUAGCAUGCAUCGUGAUAGGGAUUGAUUAUUGCAAUUAUUAAUCAUGAACGAGGAAUUCCUAGUAAACGCAUUUCAUCAAAAUGCAUUGAUUACGUCCCUGCCCUUUGUACACACCGCCCGUCGCACCUACCGAUUGAGUGGUCCGGUGAAGUCUCGAGAUUGUGGCAAUCUCCUUUAUUGGAGUUUGACUGCGAGAACUUGCCUAAACCUUAUCACUUAGAGGAAGGUGAAGGCGUAACA